rnacentral:rRNA from 1 species
UACGAUGGGUGCAAGCGUUACUCGGAAUUACUGGGCGUAAAGCGUGCGUAGGUGGUUUGUUAAGUCUGUUGUGAAAGCCCCGGGCUCAACCUGGGAAUGGCAAUGGAUACUGGCAAGCUAGAGUGCGGUAGAGGGUAGUGGAAUUCCCGGUGUAGCGGUGAAAUGCGUAGAGAUCGGGAGGAACACCAGUGGCGAAGGCGGCUACCUGGACCAACACUGACGCUCAGGCACGAAAGCGUGGGGAUCAAACAGG